rnacentral:rRNA from 1 species
UACGAGAGGCCCAAACGUUAUUCGGAAUUACUGGGCUUAAAGGGUGCGUAGGCUGCGCAGAAAGUUGGGUGUGAAGUCCCUCGGCUCAACCGAGGAACUGCGUCCAAAACUACUGUGCUCGAGGGAGACAGAGGUGAGCGGAACUUAGGGUGGAGCGGUGAAAUGCGUUGAUAUCCUAAGGAACACCCGUGGCGAAAGCGGCUCACUGGGUCUCUUCUGACGCUGAGGCACGAAAGCUAGGGUAGCGAACGGG